AGUGAACGCUGGCGGUAGGCCUAACACAUGCAAGUCGAACGGCAGCACAGUAAGAGCUUGCUCUUACGGGUGGCGAGUGGCGGACGGGUGAGGAAUACAUCGGAAUCUACUUUUUCGUGGGGGAUAACGUAGGGAAACUUAUGCUAAUACCGCAUACGACCUACGGGUGAAAGCAGGGGUUCUUCGGACCUUUCGCGAUUGAUUGAGCCGAUGUCGGAUUAGCUAGUUGGCGGGGUAAAGGCCCACCAAGGCGACGCUCCGUAGCUGGUCUGAGAGGAUGAUCAGCCACACUAGAACUGAGACACGGUCCAGACUCCUACAGGAGGCAGCAGUGGGGAAUAUUGGACAAUGGGCGCAAGCCUGAUCCAGCCAUACCGCGUGGGUGAAGAAGGCCUUCUGGUUGUAAAGCCCUUUUGUUGGGAAAGAAAAGCAGCAGGUUAAUACCCCGCUGUUCUGACGGUACCCAAAGAAUAAGCACCGGCUAACUUCGUG
rnacentral:rRNA from 1 species